UACUGUAGUCAUUUCAAAUGUAAGAGAUUUUCCAUGCUUUAACCAUUAAUGCCGUAGAAAGUAUGAUAACUCAAUAUUGAUUGGUCAGCUAAGAUAACAUUUCAAACAGCAUUAUUUGUAACAAAACUUCUCCAAGGAUAAACUACAUUAACAAAUUACCUUAUAGGAUUGUAGUACUGUCAAAUAAACAUGAUUAAUCAGAUUAACAGCGUCCUGACUCCAAACAAUAUAACUUUCACAAGUUUAAUCUGGUCAAGAUCCAGAAUUGUAAAUUGAUUUUUUUUAUGGAUAAAACUGUCAAAUGAAAGGCGAAAAGGGUAAAAAUUCUCAGUCGAGGGAAAUAACUCCAAUAAGAGGUAAAACUAAUGAUUUUGGUCAUGCUGAUUACUUAUUUGAAGAUCUUAUUUAGCUAGAAAUUUUUCCAAUUGACAGUUUCUUUCUAUGACAGUUUAGUCUAUGUGCUAAAGUUUCUGCACAAAAUUACCUUUGGUCAAAAGCUACUGACAUAUAAAUAUUCAAGUAGUUAUUCAUUCUUGCUUUCCAAAUGUUUUGGUUGAGUGUCUUAAAAGGUAAAUCUAGAAAAGAGCUUCAGAUGCACCAAAUUUAACAUUUUAAUUUCUACCUUUUUUGUUCUUCAGACAAUUUGAUAUAGGGUUGAUAGAUUUUCAUUUGAAAUGCAAAGGGUCAUUAAAUUUUAUAUAUAUCACUGUUCUAGCACUUCAAGGAACAGG
rnacentral:lncRNA from 1 species